AGAGAGAGACAUGCGCGCAUAUCAAUAAGCGGAGGAAAAGAAACUAACAAGGAUUCCCUUAGUAACGGCGAGUGAAGCGGGAAGAGCUCAAAUUUGAAAUCUUCAAGGUUUUACCUUGACGAAUUGUAGUUUAAAGAAGUGUUUUCUACUGAGGUUUUGGUAAAAGUUCUUUGGAAUAGGACAUCAUAGAGGGUGAGAAUCCCGUAUUUGACCAUUAUUUCAGCUUUGUGAUACACUUUCAAAGAGUCGGAUUGUUUGGGAAUGCAGUCCAAAAUGGGUGGUAAAUUUCAUCUAAAGCUAAAUAUUGGCGAGAGACCGAUAGCGAACAAGUACCGUGAGGGAAAGAUGAAAAGAACUUUGAAAAGAGAGUUAAACAGUACGUGAAAUUGUCAAAAGGGAAGCGUUUGACACCAGUGUUGUUUUCUCGAAAAUCAAUUAAAAAUGGCUCGAUUUUGUAUUGUUGAGACCUUAAAAGCUCACUGUACAUUUUUCGUGUCUUUUUUAAUGCACCUUUCGUUUAACAAGUCAACAUCAGUUUCUUUUGUUGUAAAAGGGUCAUUGGAAGGUGGCUUUCUUUUCGGAGAAAGUGUUUAUAGCCUUUGGCCUCUGCAAUCGAAGAGACUGAGGUCUGCAGCGUAGACUCUUCGGGGUUAGAUACAUUUGUGCUAAGUUAUAGCUUUUUAUAGACAACUUGUUGACUAUAAUUAGUCUUGUAGCUUACUCGCUUAUGCUAUUUUACCUACGCUUAGGAUGUUGAAGUCAUCGUAUCGCGC
rnacentral:rRNA from 1 species